rnacentral:rRNA from 1 species
UCCAGACUCCUACGGGAGGCAGCAGUGAGGAAUAUUGGUCAAUGGGCGCGAGCCUGAACCAGCCAAGUCGCGUGAGGGAUGACGGCCCUACGGGUUGUAAACCUCUUUUGUCGGGGAGCAAAUUCCGUUACGUGUAACGGAGUCGAGAGUACCCGAAGAAAAAGCAUCGGCUAACUCCGUGCCAGCAGCCGCGGUAAUACGGAGGAUGCGAGCGUUAUCCGGAUUUAUUGGGUUUAAAGGGUGCGUAGGCGGAAUGCCAAGUCAGCGGUAAAAUCGCGGGGCUCAACCUCGCUCCGCCGUUGAAACUGGCGUUCUUGAGUGGGCGAGAAGUAUGCGGAGUGCGUGGUGUAGCGGUGAAAUGCAUAGAUAUCACACAGAACACCGAUUGCGAAGGCAUCUGACGAAUCGGAGAUUGACGCUGAUGCACGAAAGCGUGGGUAUCGAACAGGAUUAGAUACCCCAGUAGCA